rnacentral:rRNA from 1 species
UACGUAGGGUGCAAGCGUUAAUCGGAAUUACUGGGCGUAAAGCGUGCGCAGGCGGUGAUGUAAGACAGUUGUGAAAUCCCCGGGCUCAACCUGGGAACUGCAUCUGUGACUGCAUCGCUGGAGUGCGGCAGAGGGGGAUGGAAUUCCGCGUGUAGCAGUGAAAUGCGUAGAUAUGCGGAGGAACACCGAUGGCGAAGGCAAUCCCCUGGGCCUGCACUGACGCUCAUGCACGAAAGCUGGGGGAGCGAACAGG